rnacentral:rRNA from 1 species
GACGAACGCUGGCGGCGUGCUUAAUACAUGCAAGUCGAGGGGCAGCAUGAUUGUAGCAAUACAAUUGAUGGCGACCGGCAAACGGGUGCGGAACACGUACACAACCUUCCAAUAAGUGGGGAAUAGCCCAGAGAAAUUUGGAUUAAUACCCCGUAACAUAACGAUGUGGCGUCACAUUGUUAUUAUAGAUUUUUCGCUUAUUGAUGGGUGUGCGGCUGAUUAGAUAGUUGGCGGGGUAACGGCCCACCAAGUCUACGAUCAGUAGCUGAUGUGAGAGCAUGAUCAGCCACACGGGCACUGAGACACGGGCCCGACUCCUACGGGAGGCAGCAGUAAGGAAUAUUGGACAAUGGACGCAAGUCUGAUCCAGCCAUGCCGCGUGAAGGAUUAAGGUCCUCUGGAUUGUAAACUUCUUUUAUAAGGGACGAAAAAAGGCUUUUCUAAGUCGUCUGACGGUACCUUAUGAAUAAGCACCGGCUAACUCCGUGCCAGCAGCCGCCGUAAUAC